AAAUAUGAGAAGAUCCUCCAAAAGGCCCAAGAAAAGCUGGACAAAGGCAGCCAGAGAGACGAGGCCAUUGCUCUGGGGGAGGCUGUGGCAGCCGAGCCCCGCAUGGACGACUCGGGCACCAUGUGGGAUGCUCAGCUGCAGAUGCAGAUGGAGGAGAUGCUGAUGGAGGAACAUGCCGUGGAGCAGCAGAAAGCUCUCAGCUCCCGUCCCCCGGAGGACACUGCCUUUCACCAGCGUGUACAUCGGAGGCUUCUCAAAGCUGAGCUGCCCGAAUACAUCCUGGACCUUGGCUAUGUCGUUCCCGGUGACAUCCACA